GAGGUCUUAGCUUAAGGUUAAAGUGGCUGAGUUGCAUUCAGUGGAUGUACUGUGUGUACAGAUCUU
rnacentral:tRNA from 1 species